CAAGCACUAAGACCUUCAUUUCAUUUAGGUUUUUUUCUUCCAUUCGAAACAAUCACUUUGGAGAGAUAUAAGUAUAGAGUUGAUAUAUAUUAAGGCCCAACUGAAGAGGAUACCUAAGUGGGAACCACUCUAUAGCAAGACCAGAACCAUCUUCUAAAUCAGGUGUGUUUAUGUUCAAAUGUACUUUUGAGUUAUUAAACUAUGAUAUUCAUGAAAGCAAAAUGAAUGUUCAUGCUUCAAUAUUUUACUCUCUAUUGGGUAUGUGUUAUUAACUGGCAUGAAGUUGGCUUUGCCAAUUAACAAGGAGUUAACGAUCGUGCUCUAAGCUAGUACUAGCCAGAGUGUAGUGCGCACGGAAGUCAGAACUGGGUAGAACUUGGCCAGGUUCCUCAGUUCUGAUGAAGGGGAUCGUAUGUGGAAGAAAAAUCCUCGACAAUCAUACAGUUAUAAGUUGUACCAAUAGUAGAGACAGUUAAAGAAAGUGAAGUUUUGUAUGCUUAUGAUGUAUGAUUUGUGUUUAAAAGCUUCAUAUGCAUAUUGUUAA